rnacentral:rRNA from 1 species
UACGUAGGGGGCAAGCGUUGUCCGGAUUUAUUGGGCGUAAAGCGCACGCAGGCGGUCUUGUAAGUUUCGAGUGACAGGUGGUGGCUUAACUGCCACAGGCCUUGGAAAACUGACAAGACUUGAGGGCGAGAGAGGGAUGCGGAAUUCCAGGUGGAGCGGUGAAAUGCGUAGAUAUCGGGAGGAACACCAGUGGCGAAGGCGGCUUCCUGGACCAGAACUGACGCUGAGGCGCGAAAGCGUGGGGAGCAAACAGG